GACGAACGCUGGCGGCGUGCCUAACACAUGCAAGUCGAACGAGGCCCAUCCUUCGGGAGAAGACCUAGUGGCGAACGGGUGAGUAACACGUGAGAAACCUGCCCCGAAGACCGGGAUAACCCUCCGAAAGGAGAGCUAAUACCGGAUGCCCCCACCGAGCCGCAUGGCUUGGUGAGGAAAUGGAUUCCGCUUCGGGAGGGUCUCGCGGCCUAUCAGCUAGUUGGUGGGGUAACGGCCCACCAAGGCAUCGACGGGUAGCUGGUCUGAGAGGACGAUCAGCCACACUGGGACUGAGACACGGCCCAGACUCCUACGGGAGGCAGCAGUGGGGAAUCUUGCGCAAUGGGCGAAAGCCUGACGCAGCAACGCCGCGUGGGGGAUGAAGGCUCUCGGGUUGUAAACCCCUUUCAGCAGGGACGAAAUCAGACGGUACCUGCAGAAGAAGCUCCGGCUAACUACGUGCCAGCAGCCGCGGUAAU
rnacentral:rRNA from 1 species